rnacentral:rRNA from 1 species
UUAUCUGUUGCGGGCGUAGGAUAUUUGAGGAGAGCUGUUCCUAGUACGAGAGGACCGGAAUGGACGAACCGAUGGUGUUCCAGUUGUCACGCCAGUGGCAUCGCUGGGUAGCUAUGUUCGGAAGGGAUAACCGCUGAAAGCAUCUAAGCGGGAAGCCCACUCCAAGAUUAGAUAUCCCGUGGGGUAAUACCCACCUAAAGGCUCGUUGAAGACUACAACGUUGAUAGGCCAGGUGUGGAAGUGUAGCAAUACAUGGAGCUUACUGGUACUAAUUAGCCGUGAGGCUUAACCAU